rnacentral:rRNA from 1 species
UACAGAGGUGCCGAGCGUUAGGCGGAAUCACUGGGCUUAAAGCGUGUGUAGGCGGACGUCUAAGUACCUUGUGAAAUCCCACGGCUCACCCGUGGAACUGCUGGGUAUACUGGGCGUCUUGAGCCACCUAGGGGCCAGCGGAACAAAUGGUGGAGCGGUGAAAUGCGUAGAUAUCGGGAGGAACACCUGUGGCGAAAGCGGCUCACUGCACCACAACUGACGCUGAGGCGCGAAAGCUAGGGGAGCAAACAGG